rnacentral:lncRNA from 12 species
AUGUUCUACUUGCAUGAGGAAGGUGCCAUUAAACUCAAAACAAGAUACCAUAGGUGGCAUGCAGCAGAAACAGCCAAACAUGAAUCAAUCCCACUGGUUGGGAAUGCUGCUGAGAUAAGGAGCAGUAUCUCAGCCAAUCACCUAAGAGGUCUCAAAUCCAGUGGUUAUGUCCAGCCAAU